ensembl:lncRNA
UUUUUUUUUUUUUUUUUUUGCAACAGGGUCUCACUCUGUCACCCAGGCUGCAAUACAGUGGUGCAAUCAUGACUGACCGCAGCCUCAAACUCCUGGGCUCAAGCAAUCCUCCCAGCUCACCUUCCCAAGCGGCUGGGACUACAGAUGUGUGCCACAUGCCCAGCCAGAAUCUUCUGUAGAUUAGUCAUAAUACCUAAUACAAUGUAAAUGCUAUCCAAAUAGUUGUAUAUUAACAUUUGUAUUUUUUAAAUUGUUCUAUAUUUUAAGUAAUUUCCAUCCAGGGUUCGUUGAUUAAUGGAUGCAGAACCCCUGGAUACAGAGGGCCAACUGUAUCAUAAAGAGAACGCCUUAAAAUGUGAAAUAUGUGUGCAAAGAGGGAAAGCAGAGAAAAAGAUGGGGUACAUCACAUUAGAAAGAACAGAUUCAGACACUUAAGUAUCUAAUUUCUCCAAAAAGGCUAAAAGAUACAGUGAUGUAGUACCAUUUAAUAAGUUUUUUUUUUUUUUUGAGACAGUGUCUUGCUCUGUCACCCAGGCUGGAGUGCAGUGGCCGGAUCUCAGCUCACUGCAAGCUCCGCCUUUUUGAUUCACGCCAUUCUCCUGCCUCAGCCUCCCGAGUAGCUGGGACUAUAGGUGCCCGCCACCACGCCCGGCUAGUUUUUUGUAUUUUUUAGUAGAGAUGGUGUUUCACCGGGUUAGCCAGGAUGGUCUCGAUCUCCUGACCUCGUGAUCCACCCGUCUCGGCCUCCCAAAGUGCUGGGAUUACAGGCUUGAGCCACCGCGCCCAAUAAGUUUUUUCUUUAAGGUUUCAAAAUCAAGCUCAAAUGCUGUGUAUUACUGACAUUCACCAUUAUUCAAGAAAACCUUUAAUAACACUCUUCAUAUUAUACUGUGAUGAAAAUAUUUAAAAAUUUUCAGGAAGGGCUGGUUUACAAACCAGAACUCUGUCUAGGGUCUGAGCCAUUUUUCUCAUACCCGUCCCAUCCUCUCUCCAUAACAGCAGUGGGAGCAGUGACAUAGCUCUAGGUUAAGACCGACACACAGGUGUUGGCAUCUAAUGCACUGAACUGUGCAAGUUCUGGGAAGUUGUUUUCUCUUUUUAAAAAUAAAAUUAGCUGGGCAUGGUGACUCAUACCUGUAACGGCAGCACUUGAGGAGAUCAUGGGAGAAUCACUUCACCCCAGGAGUUUGAAACUAAUCUGGGCAAUAUACAGAGACCCCAUGGCUACAAUUUUUUUUUAAUUAAUUAGCACAGCAUGGUGGUGCAUGCCUGUAGCCCCAGAUACUUGGGAGGCUGAGGUGGGAGGAUUGUGAGUCCAGGAGACAGAGGAGACUGCAGUGAGCCAAGAUCCUGCCAUGGUAUUCUGGCCUGGGCAACAGAGCAAGAUGCAAAAAAAAAAAAAAAAGAUAUUAUCAAAAAUUUAAUAUUUAAUGCACACGUUUCCCAUGUAUGCAGGAGAGGAAAACUGACAUUCCAAAAUUAGCAUAACUGAAAAAGACCAAUUAUAUGAAGCCUGUGUAUGUAUGUUUAACAAAAAGUUAAAAUUUUCUAAACUCAUUCUGCAAAAUGUUAGAAAUACAAAGACAG